UAAAAGCUGAAAGCAUCUAAGCUUGAAACCUGACCUGAAAAGAGACUCCAUUGAGGACACGGAUAAAAGAUCCGCUUGAUAGGCCUGGGAUGUAAGCAUGAAGGCAACGACAUGUUCAGUCCGCGGGUACUAA
rnacentral:rRNA from 1 species